UACGUAGGGUGCGAGCGUUAAUCGGAAUUACUGGGCGUAAAGCGUGCGCAGGCGGUUUUGCAAGCCGGAUGUGAAAUCCCCGGGCUUAACCUGGGAAUGGCAUUUGGGACUGCAAGGCUGGAGUGCGGCAGAGGAGACUGGAAUUCCUGGUGUAGCAGUGAAAUGCGUAGAUAUCGUAAGGAAGACCAGUGGCGAAGGCGGGUCUCUGGACAGUUCCUGACGCUGAGGCACGAAGGCCAGGGGAGCAAACGGG
rnacentral:rRNA from 1 species